rnacentral:rRNA from 1 species
GACGAACGCUGGCGGCGUGCCUAAUACAUGCAAGUCGAACGCAGUGGGGACGGGUGAGUAACACGUGGGUAACCUCCCAUCAGAGGGGAUAACACUUGGAAACAGGUGCUAAACCGAUACUGAUGGAUGGACCCGCGGUGCAUUAGCUAGUUGGGGAGGUAACGGCUCACCAAGGCCACGAUGCAUAGCCGGCCGGGGAGGAAGGACCGCCACAUUUGGAAUGGGACCAGGCCCAGACUCCUAAGGGAGGCAGCAGGGGGGAAUCUUCCGAAAUGGGCGAAAGUCUGAAGGAGCAACGCCGGGGGAGUGGUGACGGCCCUCGGGGUGGAAAGCUCUGUUAAGCGGGACGCGGUACCGGAAGAGAAAGCCACGGCUAACUACGUGCCAGCCGCCGCGGUAAUAC